GCUCCCAUCGUCUAGAGGCCCAGGACACGGGCUUUUCAAGCCCGGUACAUGGGUUCGAAUCCCAUUGGGAGCA
rfam:Parcubacteria group bacterium RIFCSPHIGHO2_02_FTLL_48_10b rifcsphigho2_02_scaffold_11651, whole genome shotgun sequence.